rnacentral:rRNA from 1 species
CCUACGGGGGUCUGCAGUGGGGAAUAUUGGACAAUGGGCGAAAGCCUGAUCCAGCCAUACCGCGUGUGUGAAGAAGGCCUUCGGGUUGUAAAGCACUUUCAGUGGGGAAGAAAGCCUUGGGGCUAAUACCCUCGAGGAAGGACAUCACCCACAGAAGAAGUACCGGCUAACUCCGUGCCAGCAGCCGCGGUAAUACGGAGGGUGCGAGCGUUAAUCGGAAUUACUGGGCGUAAAGCGCGCGUAGGCGGUCUGAUAAGCCGGUUGUGAAAGCCCCGGGCUCAACCUGGGAACGGCAUCCGGAACUGUCAGGCUAGAGUGCAGGAGAGGAAGGUAGAAUUCCCGGUGUAGCGGUGAAAUGCGUAGAGAUCGGGAGGAAUACCAGUGGCGAAGGCGGCCUUCUGGACUGACACUGACGCUGAGGUGCGAAAGCGUGGGUAGCAAACAGGAUUAGAUACCCCAGUAGUC